rnacentral:lncRNA from 1 species
CAUUUUGAAAGUGACCUCAUCUGCUGAGUGAGCUGCAGGGCCGGGAUCCAACACCAGAUGAAGAAACUGAGGUUUGGAGAAGGGACUGAAGAGAAGCUGGCCAGAGGCGUACCUGGACGAUCACCCUGGCCUCCUCAUUUUCAGGCCUUCGAGAUUUUCCCAACUAGAUUCUGUCAACAGCAUGUCCAACAUGAGGUCCACAGAUGUUCUGGGGGAGAAAGGGGUGCUGAAUGUGGAGAGGCAAAUAAAAUGGACACACAAGCCUUGACCUCUUGGAGUGAUUAUGAUCAAGAUUAUGAUCAUUGUGACACACAUUAAUCCAGGAAGCAAACAACCAAAUAACUCAUCACCUGUUGGGGAUUCCUUCAGGGAUUUGAGAAGUGCUAGUAAACCACUCACACAAUGAUUUCUCCAGCAAUCAAAUGCCAAAUGGUGCUGUAAACUGAACCACACAUGGACAUGCCAUUCUUCCAAGGACCCUUAGAUCAACCCCAGGAGGAGCCCUAGCUGCUGUUCCCCAUUCAACGCCCCUUUUUUGCAGGAAGUAGCCAGAAAGAGUCGUCGUCCCAAACCCCCUGACAGCAGUUACUGUGGCAUCUUCACAGUGGGGGCUGUUGUAAGAGUUAUUAAGAAAUUAUUUUAGGCAGAUAGAGAGGACAAGGGGUCCUUGGGAAGUUUUCAUUUUUUAAAGCAUCUCCAGAAAUGUUUUCUUGUGAAGUUCCGGCUCUUAGAGCCAGGCUGGCAACCUUUGAUAUGCAAAUGCCAACCAUUAGAAACUGGGUCUACCCAAACAUGGAGAUUCCCUCAGCCUUCUUGCCCUUUUCCCACAUGUUCCCGGCAGCAUGGCCCCCACCUAUCCCCACGUGUGUAGAACAUCAUGGUGCAUUGUAUUUGCAUAUUAAAAGGCUAGGGUGGGAGGGCCAGCUUUUUUGCAAGCUACAUGAAUGACAUGCCUAGUCAAACCAAUCCCCUGAGCCCUGUGCAAAUCAGACAUCGCCUCCUCCAGCCUCUGCAUAUAUACCUGGCUGGUGUCCACCGUACUUGGGGACCUCCUCUUUUGGCUUUGGAGCACCCCCUCCCCAUCUCUGUAUGGGGGAGCCUCUUCCUUCUGUCUUCUCUCUUUAAUUUUUAAAACAAAAUUUAAAAUUUUUCUUUCUUGCCUAUUAAACUCUCUGCUCCUUAAAACAAAACAAAACAAAACAAAAUUAGAUCAGGCUAGGUGCUGUGGCUCAUGCUUAUAAUCCCAGCACUUUGGGAGGCUGAGACAGGUGGAUUGCUUGAGCUCAGGAGUUUCAGACCAGCCUAAGGCAAUAUGGUGAAACCCCAUCUCUACAAAAGAUACAAAAAUUAGCUGGGCAUGGUGGUGUGUGCCUGUGGUCCCAGCUACUUGGGAGGUUGAGUCGGGAGGAUGGCUUGACUCUGGGGGCAGAGGUUACAGUAACUCUAGAUCACACCACUGCACUCCCGCCUGGGCAACAGAGCCAGACUCUGUUUCAAAAAAAAAAUUACAUCAAGC